AUUGAACGCUGGCGGCAUGCCUUACACAUGCAAGUCGAACGGCAGCACGGGUGCUUGCCCCUGGUGGCGAGUGGCGAACGGGUGAGUAAUACAUCGGAACAUGUCCUGUAGUGGGGGAUAGCCCGGCGAAAGCCGGAUUAAUACCGCAUACGAUCUACGGAUGAAAGCGGGGGACCUUCGGGCCUCGCGCUAUAGGGUUGGCCGAUGGCUGAUUAGCUAGUUGGUGGGGUAAAGGCCUACCAAGGCGACGAUCAGUAGCUGGUCUGAGAGGACGACCAGCCACACUGGGACUGAGACACGGCCCAGACUCCUACGGGAGGCAGCAGUGGGGAAUUUUGGACAAUGGGCGAAAACCUGAUCCAGCAAUGCCGCGUGUGUGAAGAAGGCCUUCGGGUUGUAAAGCACUUUUGUCCGGAAAGAAAUCCUUGGCCCUAAUACGGUCGGGGGAUGACGGUACCGGAAGAAUAAGCACCGGCUAACUACGUG
rnacentral:rRNA from 1 species